AAGGGAACGCUGGUCCAACCAGCACCCUCCAACCCACUGUGUACCCGCCUUGUUGCCUCGGCGUGCCUGCGCCUUCCAUGACGCUGCCGGCCCCGGCUGGAUAGCGCACGCCAGAGGAAUCUCAAACUCCAGCUUUAACGAGUGACGUCUGAGCCUUGAUAAAUACGUUA
rnacentral:misc_RNA from 1 species